GACGAACGCUGGCGGCGUGCCUAAUACAUGCAAGUAGAACGCUGAAGGAGGAGCUUGCUCUUCUGGAUGAGUUGCGAACGGGUGAGUAACGCGUAGGUAACCUGCCUGGUAGCGGGGGAUAACUAUUGGAAACGAUAGCUAAUACCGCAUAACAGUAGAUGUUGCAUGACAUUUACUUAAAAGGUGCAAUUGCAUCACUACCAGAUGGACCUGCGUUGUAUUAGCUAGUUGGUGGGGUAACGGCUCACCAAGGCGACGAUACAUAGCCGACCUGAGAGGGGGACGGGCCACACUGGGACUGAGACACGGCCCCGACUCCCACGGGAGGCAGCAGGAGGGAAUCUUUGGCAAUGGACGGAAGGCUGACCGAGACACGCCGCGUGAGUGAAGAAGGGUUUCGGAUCGUAAAGCUCUUUUGUAAGAGAAGAACGAGGGUGAGAGUUGAAAGUUCACAAUGUGACGGUAGCUUAACAGAAAGGGACGGCUAACUACGUG
rnacentral:rRNA from 1 species